rnacentral:rRNA from 1 species
AGAGUUUGAUCCUGGCUCAGAGCGAACGCUGGCGGCAAGCCUAACACAUGCAAGUCGAACGGAUCCUUCGGGAUUAGUGGCGGACGGGUGAGUAACACGUGGGAACGUGCCCUUUGGUUCGGAACAACUCAGGGAAACUUGAGCUAAUACCGGAUGUGCCCUUCGGGGGAAAGAUUUAUCGCCAUUGGAGCGGCCCGCGUAGGAUUAGCUAGUUGGUGGGGUAAAGGCCCACCAAGGCUACGAUCCUUAGCUGGUCUGAGAGGAUGAUCAGCCACAUUGGGACUGAGACACGGCCCAAACUCCUACGGGAGGCAGCAGUGGGGAAUCUUGCGCAAUGGGCGAAAGCCUGACGCAGCCAUGCCGCGUGAAUGAUGAAGGUCUUAGGAUUGUAAAAUUCUUUCACCGGGGACGAUAAUGACGGUACCCGGAGAAGAAGCCCCGGCUAACUUCGUGCCAGCAGCCGCGGUAAUUC